AGUGAACGCUGGCGGUAGGCCUAACACAUGCAAGUCGAACGGCAGCACAGUAAGAGCUUGCUCUUACGGGUGGCGAGUGGCGGACGGGUGAGGAACACAUCGGAAUCUACUUUUUCGUGGGGGAUAACGUAGGGAAACUUACGCUAAUACCGCAUACGACCUACGGGUGAAAGCAGGGGAUCUUCGGACCUUGCGCGAUUGAAUGAGCCGAUGUCGGAUUAGCUAGUUGGCGGGGUAAAGGCCCACCAAGGCGUCGAUCCGUAGCUGGUCUUAGAGGAUGAUCAGCCACACUGGAACUGAGACACGGUCCAGACUCCUACGGGAGGCAGCAGUGGGGAAUAUUGGACAAUGGGCGCAAGCCUGAUCCAGCCAUACCGCGUGGGUGAAGAAGGCCUUCGGGUUGUAAAGCCCUUUUGUUGGGAAAGAAAAGCAGCAGGUUAAUACCCCGCUGUUCUGACGGUACCCAAAGAAUAAGCACCGGCUAACUUCGUG
rnacentral:rRNA from 1 species